rnacentral:rRNA from 1 species
ACGGCUCAGUAACACGUGGACAACCUACCCUCAGCACGGGGAUAAACCCGGGAAACUGGGUAUAAUACCCGAUAGUUCUGGUAUGCUGGAAUGCUAUCAGGGCGAAAGCUCCGGCGACUGAGGAUGGGUCUGCGGCCUAUCAGGUAGUAGUGGGUGUAAUGUACCUACUAGCCUACGACGGGUACGGGUCGUGAGAGCGAGAGCCCGGAGAUGGAUUCUGAGACACGAAUCCAGGCCCUACGGGGUGCAGCAGGCGCGAAAACUUUACAAUGCUGGCAACAGCGAUAAGGGGACCUCGAGUGCCAGGAUACAAUCUUGGCUGUCGUAAUGCCUAAAAAGCAUUGCAUAGCAAGGGCCGGGCAAGACCGGUGCCAGCCGCCGCGGUAACACCGGCGGCUCGAGUGGUAACCGCUAUUAUUGGGUCUAAAGGGUCUGUAGCCGGCCGGAUAAGUCUCUUGGGAAAUCCAGCAGCUCAACUGUUGGGCUUUCAGGAGAUACUGUUCGGCUCGAGGCCGGGAGAGGUGAGAGGUACUUCAGGGGUAGGGGUGAAAUCUUGUAAUCCUUGAAGGACCACCAGUGGCGAAGGCGUCUCACCAGAACGGUCCUGACGGCAAGGGACGAAAGCUAGGGGCACGAACCGGAUUAGAUACCCGGGUAGUCCUAGCCGUAAACGAUACUCGCUAGGUGUCAGCCACGGUGCGACCGUGGUUGGUGCCGUAGGGAAGCCGUGAAGCGAGCCACCUGGGAAGUACGGCCGCAAGGCUGAAACUUAAAGGAAUUGGCGGGGGAGCAC